CAGUAGCCGCGGUAAUACGAAGGGUGCUAGCGUUAAUCGGAAUUACUGGGCGUAAAGCGUGCGUAGGCGGUGAGUUAAGUCUGCUGUGAAAUCCCCGGGUUCAACCUGGGAAUGGCAGUGGAUACUGGCUCGCUAGAGUGUGUUAGGGGAUGGUAGAAUUCCCGGUGUAGCGGUGAAAUGCGUAGAGAUCGGGAGGAACAUUAGUGGCGAAGGCGGCCAUCUGGGACAACACUGACGCUGAGGCACGAAAGCGUGGGGAGCAAACAGGAUUAGAUACCCCAGUAGUCCCUGUCUCUUAUAC
rnacentral:rRNA from 1 species